rnacentral:rRNA from 1 species
AUUGAACGCUGGCGGCAGGCCUAACACAUGCAAGUCGAACGAGUGGCGGACGGGUUAGUAAUGUCUGGGAAACUGCCCGAUGGAGGGUGAUAACUACUGGACACGGUAUCUAAUACCGCAUACCAUCGGAUGUGCCCAGAUGGGAUUAUCUAGUUGGUGGGGUAACGGCUCACCUAGGCGACGAUCCCUAGCUGGUCUGAGAGGAUGACCAGCCACACUGGAACUGAGACACGGUCCAGACUCCUACGGGAGGCAGCAGUGGGGAAUAUUGUACAAUGGGCGCAAGCCUGAUACAGCCAUGCCGCGUGUAUGAAGAAGGCCUUCGGGUUGUAAAGUACUUUCAGCGAGGAGGCGUUACGCGCAGAAGAAGCACCGGCUAACUCCGUGCCAGCAGCCGCGGUAAUUC